rnacentral:rRNA from 1 species
AUUGAACGCUGGCGGCAUGCUUUACACAUGCAAGUCGAACGGUAACAGGCCGCAAGGUGCUGACGAGUGGCGAACGGGUGAGUAAUGCAUCGGAACGUGCCCAGUCGUGGGGGAUAACUACUCGAAAGAGUAGCUAAUACCGCAUACGAUCUAUGGAUGAAAGCGGGGGACCGUACGGCCUCGCGCGAUUGGAGCGGCCGAUGUCAGAUUAGGUAGUUGGUGGGGUAAAGGCUCACCAAGCCAACGAUCUGUAGCUGGUCUGAGAGGACGACCAGCCACACUGGGACUGAGACACGGCCCAGACUCCUACGGGAGGCAGCAGUGGGGAAUUUUGGACAAUGGGCGCAAGCCUGAUCCAGCAAUGCCGCGUGCAGGAAGAAGGCCUUCGGGUUGUAAACUGCUUUUGUACGGAACGAAACGGCUCUGGUUAAUACCCGGGGCUAAUGACGGUACCGUAAGAAUAAGCACCGGCUAACUACGUG